AGAGAGCCUAAACCUCACUCUGCAAAUCCUCAUCCCUUCUGCGACCGGUGUAUUUUGAAUGGGUGAGUGAGAAAUUUCCGACCACCACUAUUAGGAGUACCAGUUCCAUCGGACCUUCUCCAUUUCCUCUCCAUUUUCGUGCGUGUCCCUGUAACACAGAGAGAGAGAGAGAGAGAGAGAGAGAGCAAGAUUGAACCAGUUUUAGACCUUCACUCUCCAUUCGUCCUCUCUCAUCACUGUCCUUCCUCUUCUCGUCGCCGGUGAGGGUGUGCACAGAGGAGCCGAGGUUGCUGUUGCUGGAGGCAGCCACAGAUUCUUGUUUCCUUUUCUCCAUCCCAUAUUAUAUCAUCUGAGUUUUUACCCUGUUCCACUUCGUCUUGUUCUGGUAUGAGUGUUGAAGCGUUGGUUUUAUCUUGUUUUUCCCUACUGCGAGUUGUGUGCAUGUUUGAGUCUCUCUCUCUCUCUCUCUUUUUGUUUUUUUUCCCUUUUUCUUUCUUUCUUUCUUUCUUUCUUUCUUCUCCUUUUCGUUCCAACCUCUCUAUGUGAGUAAGAGAUAGAGAAUGGGAUUUUGAGUAAGCUAAAAAUUGAGGAUUUGAAAGCUCACCUUGGAUAGACAAUAUAACCAACUUGCACUUCUUGAGGAUCAUUGAAAGACUCAUUGUUGCAUUGACUAGAAGACCUUUUGAGAAUAUCCUUUUUUAUGUAAAUAUUUAAUUAUGCAAUAUUUUGAGAUUAUGUUUUUAGGUGCUCGAUGAUAAUUAUAGAUAGGAUCAUGAUAUGUAAUCUAUGUUGUUUGGCUGUUGUGACGGAGCAAAUCUCCGUAUUACUAAUUUGGUUAUCUAAAUGGUGGUUGUAGAAAUUUUGGGAGGUCUUAAUUAUAGGGGAGGUGAUGCCGAAAAUUUUUACAGAAAAUUUGGGAUUAUUUUGCUACAAAAAAUGUUGCAAUGAUUUUUAUUUCCAUUUCUAAUGCAUUAAUAUAUUACAUUAGAGUUUUUCUUUGAUCAAGGUUUAAGAGAUAUGUGUUUAUGCUCAUAUAUUGUGCCAGUCACGUCAAAUUUUUGAGGUGUGAUAUCAAACAUUACUCAAGAAAAUACAAAAUCAAAGCCAUAUAAUACUCAAAUCAUCAAAAAGUUCAAAUAUAGGGAGAAGGAGAAGUGGAGGAAGCUUACCUACUCCAAUUACUUUUAAAGUAACCUAAAGGUCGAGCCUUAGCACCUAUUAGUUAUCUACUAUUGUCUCCUAGCGAAUUCUCUCUCCCAUUUCUUGUUUUUUGUUUGAUUUUGGGAGCUGAUAAACACAAAUUUUGUAUGUGUGCUGCGGUGCAUUGGCUUGUCAAUCACGGUGCAUGGUUCAAAGAAAUCCAGACUUGUUUUGGGCAUUUUUUUAUGCCACGUCCCGUGCAAACUUUGAUCUAGCCUUCUUUUAAGGCUGUCCAAUGAUCUAGAUACAUUAGUCUUUCAAAACAUCAUUAAGGAUAUUUUCAAAGUUAAAAUUCAAGUUGUUAUAUAAGAUGGGGGGGCCAAAUGGCAUGUGGCAUUUGCUGUGCCACGUGUCGCGAUGCAUGGCCAAUUUUGGGCAUUUAUUAAACAUGAAAUGAGUCUGAUUUUAGCAAACAGAAAGAGAGGGAUCGAGGGGAGCGAUGAAGGGAGGUCUUGGGGUUACCAGGGCUUGAUCCUACAUCAUCUUGGAGGUACAUUGGCUUUCUACACCUUGGGUAAGCUUUUUUCACAUUUUCCUCUCCAUUUUUAUAUGAACUUUUGACUUUUGGGGCAAUGGUGGCUGUGAUUUCAGUUAUUUUGGGUGUUGACCAAACUUAUUGACUUAGUUAAGGUUUUGGGGUGUUAAAUCAAGCCUCUAACCCUAGAUUUAUGGGUUUUAUAUGGAUUUGGAAUUUCUGUUGAAGUUUUGAACGAACCUUAAGUAUAAUUUGAGAGUUUUGGAACAAUUUGAGUAAAUGGUUGAUGAUAUUAAUGUGUUUGAAUGUUAAAUAGGAUUGUUGGAGCAUGUUAGAAGGGUUAAUGUUGUUAAAUGAGGAUUUUGGAUAUAAUGGGUACAAAAAAUCUAGUAAACUCGAUUUAAUUAGAGUAAUAAUUAUUUAAUUAGAGUAAUAAUUGAUAAUUAUUACUUAAUUGUGUAGAUUAAGUAUUGCUCAAGUGAUGUUGUGGGUGUGGAAUGUGUGGAGUAAACAUUAGAUCACAAUAAUCUUUUUGUAACAAAAAGGUUGAGGUAACGGAAUAAUUUACACUAUUUAAUUAAAGUGAUUAAACUGUUUGUGAGUGAAUAUGUAAAUUUUCUACAUGUGAUUUGAAAGCAUUGCAUAUUGCAAAAUAAGGUUUUUGUGCAUUUGAAAUGAUUUUUGAAUCUAUGAAAAUUUGAGUCUCUUAUAUGAGUUAAGUAUAAUUUGGAUACAAAUAUGUGGCAUGUAUGAUAAGCGGGAGCAUGAUCAUUAUAGGAGGUGGGAGUUCAUCCAUAGGAAGGAGUAGUGAAAAUUUAUAUGGCAUGUAUCUCAGUGCCUAGUAAGGUACAGUGUUGGAGAUUAUUUUUUUAAUAUCCAUGUGGUAUACAGCAUUGGAGAUUGAUGCUUUUUAGCAUCAAUGAUGUAGUGUUAGAGUAAUGACCCAAUUCAUGUGUGAUAGGGGAAAAUCAUAGUCUGGAAGUGGGAUAGGACACCUUUGGCCGGGUGAUCAUACCAUUGAAGGCGAGCUCGGGCCAUGUACACUUGGUCCAAGAGCCUAUGGUUUCAAUAGGGGUGAAAUGGAGGUUUGGAUAGUAGAAUGAUUAUGCUAGAGUAGAAAAGAAUCAUGAUGAUUGAAAAGAUUAUGUGGGUUAUGAUAAAUGCAUGUUUUUGUAUAUAUUAGUUUUACUCCCUUAUAGUUGUGCAUGUUAAUUGAUAGUAGUGAAUUAUUCUAUAAUUAAGAUGUUUAUCUCAUCUCGUGGUUAUAUUUUAUAAGUGAGGGUUUCGACAAGGGUAAGGGGAAGGAAUGAAGAGUUAAGAGCUUCAUUUGUGUAGCUCUUCCCAUUUAUGUUCUGGUUUUGUAAUGAAUAUGUCAUGAAGUUUAUGCCAACUUAAGAUUUUAAGCAUGUUUUGAAUCACUUGUAUGAGAAAUUGGUGGAAUGAGUGCUUAUCUCAACCUAAAUGAUGUUCUUGUGAUUAACUAAUUGUGAAAGGUUAAAAUACUAGUACAAGUGAUGUUAUGGUACUGUUGUAUGUAUGAAUAUGAUAGUAGUAUGAUAUUGAGGAAUAAGUUGUUCCUUUGAAUUCAUUGUGAAAAUGGAGGAUUUGAUUGUCAUUUUGUAGGUGGGUGGUUAUUAUUGUGAUAUGAUUGGCCUAUUAUGAUGUGUGCAAUUCAUUUGACUUAUUCAAAGUGGUUUCGGAGUUAAUGGCACUUGGUUAUGUGUUUUGGAUACUCUUAAGUGUGUUAUGGUUUGAAAAUGAACCAUUUGGGGUUUGGGUGUCCAAUAUUUUAAUGGUUGAUUAUUUAAUUGUAAGACCAAUGCCAUUAGUUAGGAGGCUCAAAAAGCUUCGUGUGGACACUUGAACUGCUUAAAUCAGACAUCGAAUGGCAAAACAGCACGCUUUAAAAGGUGGUUCGGAGUGUUGUCAUGAUAGUAGGUAUGUGUUGUAGUACAUGAUAUUCGCACCAUGGCACAAUGAAUAGAGAGGUGCCAUCCACAGCGACAGAAAAGGCCUAUGCCACGGCGGAUGAGGCGAAUUCUAGUAUUUUUUCCAUAUUGCUCUUUUAUUGUUUUUAAGAGUUAUUUAGUAUUUAUGCUUCCGUUACCUCUUACAAUUUGUUUUAAAGUACAAUUUGAGCUCAAACUUUUUAAAAACAAUUUCUUAGGAUAUUAAAAUUGCCAUCAUUCGAUGGUCUUUAAGUGAA